UACGAAGGGGGCUAGCGUUGCUCGGAAUCACUGGGCGUAAAGCGCGCGUAGGCGGAUUGUUAAGUCAGGGGUGAAAUCCUGGAGCUCAACUCCAGAACUGCCUUUGAUACUGGCGAUCUUGAGUCCGGGAGAGGUGAGUGGAACUGCGAGUGUAGAGGUGAAAUUCGUAGAUAUUCGCAAGAACACCAGUGGCGAAGGCGGCUCACUGGACCGGAACUGACGCUGAGGCGCGAAAGCGUGGGGAGCAAACAGG
rnacentral:rRNA from 1 species